UGGGGAAUAUUGGACGAUGGGGGCAACCCUGAUCCAGCCAUGCCGCGUGAGUGAAGAAGGCCUUAGGGUUGUAAAGCUCUUUCAGUCGUGACGAUGAUGACGGUAGCGACAGAAGAAGCCCCGGCUAACUCCGUGCCAGCAGCCGCGGUAAUACGGAGGGGGCAAGCGUUGUUCGGAUUUACUGGGCGUAAAGGGCGCGUAGGCGGGGUAUCAAGUUAGGGGUGAAAGCCCGGGGCUCAACCUCGGAACUGCCUUUAAAACUGAUACUCUAGUGUCCGGAAGAGGGUCGCGGAAUUCCCAGUGUAGAGGUGAAAUUCGUAGAUAUUCGGAGGAACACCAGUGGCGAAGGCGGCUCACUGGCUCGAUACUGACGCUGAGGUGCGAAAGUGUGGGGAGCAAACAGGAUUAGAUACCCCGGUAGUCC
rnacentral:rRNA from 1 species